rnacentral:sRNA from 1 species
GAGGAUGAGAACCUCCGGGGGCAAGAGGUUCGACCCGAGCGAAGCGAGAGAACGUUGCGUCAGCAACGGCCCGCAGGGCGAGCCACGCAGUGGCGAGUCAUCCUCUAUCACCGACCA